rnacentral:misc_RNA from 1 species
UUAAGGAAAUAAUUACAUAAAAUUAUUUUGAGAACUGAGAAUUAAAUCGAAAUUAUACUAAGCCAAACUAGAACUGAAAAAUCAAAGACCGUACUGAACUAAAACCCUACUGAAAUUUCAGUUCAAUUUAUUCUUAGACAGACCUCGAACUAAACCGAAACCGCAUAUCCCUGCAACAAGCCUCUACAGGAUCGUUACAGUUACAGAGACGGAAUUCGAAGUUUAUGGGUCUAUGACCAUGAUAAGCCCUUCAAGCCUGGUCAAGGACUGAAAUGCGCAUCAAGGCAAACCCUCUUUCUUCCUUUACAUAAGCACAUACACGCCCUGAGUAUACUGACAGGGCAAUUUUUUUUUUUUUUCCAGGGAUAUGACCACUUGACAAUUUGAGGGCUAUGCUUAUGCUCCAAAGGGAAUGAAUGAAUCAAUAAAACAAAAUGAUAAAAUUAAUCUGUGAUUUAAAAAUUAAAAAAAAGGGAAACAUAUCUACAGAACCCUAAAAGAAACAGCAAAGGAAGGCAACACCAAUUUUGAAGUUGAAUAGAGAACCACUGUAGAGGGUCUGGACGUUCGUCUACAUCCAAAGAAGCAGUAGGCUUGGGUAGUUCAGAAGGUAAAUGCCGGUGAAAUGCAUCAACUGCAGCUGCAACACCAUCUUCAUUCUCUAUCAACUUCGCUAAUUCCAUUGCCCGAGAUUUCACUCUUUCUUGAAAAUGUGCUUCCUUUAGGCCCACUUUGGCUUUUUGGUACUCAGACUUCAAGACAAUGAAACACAGCUGCUGGAAUAAGUAUGUUUCUUCCAACCUGUUGGCAAAAGUGCUAUCAUAAAUGCCCUUGUAUUUGUUUACAGCUGCAGUUAACUCCACAUAAGAAUGUGGAGAAGUCUACAUUUCAUUGAAAAGGCAGGUAUCAGAAGCUAGAUAUGCACCAUGGAAGAAGUAUCACAUUUUUGCAGGAUUAUUAAUCAAGUCUAAUCUUCAGAGAUUAACCGAAUAAUCAAUUUAUAAGGACCACACCCGAGAACAAAUAAUAUCUAAUAAAAUUUAAAACUGUGAACACCAAUUGAUAUUGCUGUAGUGAUACAGGCUAGUAAUCUAUUGCAUUGCCAUCCUAUGGAAUCAGCUCUUCCAUAAAAUGGGAGCAAUAUACAAAUCAGAAUUACCUCUGGCCGGAGCAUGAACCUUAUUGCAUUUG